AGCAGCCGCGGUAAUUCCAGCUCCAAUAGCGUAUAUUAAAGUUGUUGCAGUUAAAAAGCUCGUAGUUGAAUUUCGGGGUUAGUAGGUUGGUCAUGCCUCUGGUAUGUACUGGUCUCACUGAUUCCUCCUUCCUGAUGAAUCUUAAUGCCAUUAAUUUGGUGUUUUGGGGAAUUUGGACUGUUACUUUGAAAAAUUAGAGUGUUUAAAGCAAGCUAACGCUUGAAUACAUUAGCAUGGAAUAAUGAAAUAGGACGUUCGAUCCUAUUUUGUUGGUUUCUAGGAUUGACGUAAUGAUUAAUAGGGAUAGUUGGGGGCAUUAGUAUUCAAUUGUCAGAGGUGAAAUUCUUGGAUUUUAUUGAAGACUAACUACUGCGAAAGCAUUUGCCAAGGAUGUUUUCAUUAAUCAGGAACGAAAGUUAGGGGAUCGAAGACGAUCAGAUACCGUCGUAGUCUUAACCAUAAACUAUGCCGACUAGGGAUCGGAUGAUGUUAAUUUUUAAUGACUCA
rnacentral:rRNA from 1 species